GGGGGGGGGGGGGGGGGGGGGGGGGCCCCUCCCGCGGGUCACGUGGGGCGGUGUCACGUGACCGAGGCGGAAAGGCUCAUGGCGGCAGGGUCCGGUCGUGCCGCCGCUGCCGGGAGGUGCCGGGAGGUCCGUGUGCCCCGUGUGCCCGCCAGCACCGUGCCCAGCUGGCCAAAACACCAGUGUCACCUGGCCCGUACAGCAAUAGUGAGGCCAGCAGGACCAGGGCAGUGGUUGUCUCCCUGCGCUGGGCACUGCUGAGGCCACACCUCGACCCCCUGUCAGUUCCGGGCCCCUCAGUCCGGGAAGGACAUUGAGCUGCUGAGGCAGUAAAGCUGGGGAGGAUCUGGAGCGCAGGUGCCAUGAGGAGAGGCUGGGGGAGAUGUGGGGGCUCAGCCUGGAGAAAAGGAGGCUCAGGGUGUCCUUAUCGCUCUCCACAGCUCCCUGGCAGGAGGGGCAGCCGGGUGGGGGUCAGCUCUGCUCGCACGGAACGAGGGACAGGAUCAGAGGAUAGAAUCUCAAACUGUGCCAGGGAAGGUGUAGGUUGAGUAUCAGGAGUAAUUUCUUCACAGAAAGGGUGAUUAGACACCGGAAUGGGCUGCCCAGUGAAUCACAGUCACUGUCCCUGGAGGUGUUCAAGGACUGGACAAUCAGUGCCAUGGUCUGGUUGCAAGGUGGUGAUUGGUCAUAGAUUAGACUCGAUCUCAGAGAUUUCCGACCUUAAUGAUUCUGUGUGCUCAGCAGUGCCCAAGGGGUGGGGGCUGCUGUGAGUGCAGUGUGGGUCUGUGUGUGUUCUGUGUGUCAGGGUCCCGGGAAGAGGGGAUUGUACCCCAUGGGCUCAGGACUUGGUUUUGGCCCUGGGCUUUCAGCUCUGCCUCAAAAACUCUGUGAGAAAUUCCUGAAUGAGCCUUCCUCCUGAGCACCUCUCCCCUGUGCCCUUCUGUCACAUCCAGCCUGAUCCAGAGUGUGGAUUAUGGCCAAACUGUUUGCUGUGUUUCUGCCUGCAUGUGUGGACUCUGUGGUGUUGGAUCCAGCCUGUCUCUGCUUGGGAUGCUUGGACCCAUCCAGAUCUUUGCACUCAAAGAUUUUGGUCUCUCUUCAACAAGUUCAAACACAAGAACACUGAGUGCCCAGACGUGAUGUCCUGACUCCAGAGCAGGGAGUGAAGGAAUCGGGGACACCGUACCGGUGUGAAAUUCCUCACAGCUCUCCCUUUGGCUGCCUCCUCUCUCGGUUUGGGGUGGGGACAGCAGCAAGACCCUGGGGAAGCUUCGCUGGUCCCAUCUAAAGAACAACCCCAGCACCAAAGCAGCGUGGGUGCAGCUUGCUCUCUCUCCUCCCUGCCUCCGAAGGCGCUCGGUGGGGCCGGGCGGGCGAUGGGGCUGCGAGGUACCAACAGAGCCGGUCUGUGAAACUUGGCCGGGAGCACAGAGGGAGAUUGAUGUUUGCUCGGGCGCUCAGCCCUCAGCUGUGGGCUCUGCCCGCCCCUGCACCAGCUGGGGACAAAAGCCCCGGCCCCGGGUGGCACUGCAGGGCUGG
ensembl:lncRNA